CGGUCUGUGAUGCCCUUAGAUGUUCGGGGCCGCACGCGCGCUACACUGACCGGAUCAGCGUGUGCUCUCCUUGGCCGACAGGUCCGGGAAACCCGUUGAACCCCGGUCGUGCUAGGGAUAGGGAAUUGCAAUUAUUUCCCUUGAACGAGGAAUUCCCAGUAAGCGCGAGUCAUUAGCUCGCGUUGAUUACGUCCCUGCCCUUUGUACACACCGCCCGUCGCUACUACCGAUUGAAUGGUUUAGUGAGGUCCUCCGAUUGGACCCGGUCCGGGCGGCGACGUCCGAGCCGGCGUCCGAGAAGACGAUCUAACUUGAUCAUUUAGAGGAAGUAAAAGUCGUAACAAGGUUUCCGUAGGUGAACCUGCGGAAGGAUCAUUA
rnacentral:ncRNA from 1 species